UGUGAUGAAUAAUCGAUUCAACCUGAAGACAGCAGCUCUCAUCUGUGAACAUCUGAACUGCAGCUCUGCUGUUUCUGUACAACCAACUGUUGUGUCAGGACAAUCUAUGUGGAGAAUCAACUCAGAAUGUUUUCAAUCUGGAUCUGAUCUGUCGAACUGUGUGGCAUCAUUCUUCUCCUCUCUCAUCCUGAAACUCACCUGCUCAGGAAACACUGAUGUUGGUCCUAUGGGUAAACUGCGCUCGUUCCUCAGCCAUCAGCACUGCAGAGGGGCUGUAGGUCUUCAAAAGGGUAAAACGUAUCUCAUCAUGGGCUCGUCCCAAGACAUCCGCAGAGACGACCAAGAGCAGACGUUUUGGUACAUGCUUGAUGAGAAGACCUGGGUUGAGUACUGGCCCACAACAGAAGAGUGUCAAACAGAUGAACACCGACCGUCCUGUU